AGGGUUGUGGCUCAGUGGUAGAGCACCUGUCUUGCAUGCAUGAGGCACUGGGUUCGAUCCUCAGCACCACAU
rfam:Ictidomys tridecemlineatus contig088398, whole genome shotgun sequence.